GGUCGGCGUCCAGCUGCGCUUUGUGGCUGUCCGCCGAGCCAGUCUUGGGAAGAGUGCAGGCUCCCCAGCUCUAAGCCAGGGACUGGGGCGUAGAGAGGACCCACUAAGGUGCUGCCCCAGGCACUGCUCGGCCUCCCGGGGCAGGCCACACAUCUCAGCUAGCAUACCCACGUACUGGGGUCGCUGCACCAAAUGCUGCGACUCCUUUCUGCCCCACACUCAGCUCCAGGCCUGGCCUUGGGUGCCCGCCCUACGAGGGCAGUGCCUGCCCAGCUUCAUAAUUGCCCCAGAGUUGGCUGGAGGCCCAGAGGCCAGUUCUGCCCACGAUCUUUGAAGUAAGUCUCUCCCAGUUGCGCUCCACGCACUUCAUCAACUGGGGGCAGUUCCCUCUCUCACCCCCAUCUCCACCCUGGGUUGGGUCCCUCUUUGCCCUUCUUCCUGUCUCCCAAAUGGCACUUGGCUCUGCAGCCACCCAUCAGUUUUCACACCGCUUAGUUCCAGCUUCCUUGCCUCAGGAGAAACCAGGUUCCAUGGAGACUGAUCCUGGGAUCUCCAAGCACCUUGUGCCUGCUGUGGUGGGUGUUCAUGGUGGGGUGUUCUGGGCCAAUCUUGCAUGGAUGCAUGGGGAUAAUGACAGUGGAAUUGUUUUUGGCCUGAACUGGAGGGCUCCCUGUAGGAGGUGGUCUGGGGAAGAGUAUGGCAUGGAGACAGUGAAACUGCCAGUACAGAUGUUGAUGAGGCUGAAGCCCUUGAAAUGAGAGUGAAGCGUGGGGGUGGGGAUGGUGACUUCAGAGCUGCUGUCGUCAAGGCAGAGGCUGAAGGUAGCCCCAGCUGCCUGUUUCUAGACCAGAGCUCCACAGUGGCACCAAGCAAAGCCUUCCCCUGCUGCAGGGAGGUGGGGAAGUGCUGGCCUGUGUUUGAAAAAGGAGCACGCAGAGGUCUGAGCACCCACUGCCUGUGGGCACUUACAUUCAUUUCACAAAUGAGGAAAAUGAAGUAACUUGCCCCAGAGAGCACAUUUAGUGAGUGUUGGGGCUAGGAUUUGAACACAGAUCUGAUUCCAAAGCAGGCCUCUUUGCUGUCCCUUUCCUUGCUGCGACUGAUACAGAGGAGGGGAGAGAGAGCUGUGUGGCAACUGAUUUCCUAAGGCUGUGGAGGUGACUUUCCCAUGGGCAUCUCCAAGCAUCAGCAGUUGUGGAGCCAGGAAAAUGGGAGGGGGCCUUCUGAGCAGUCUGCCCUGAGGCAGUCAGGGAAGGUGUCAGCUUGGCUGUCUCCACCGUCACUCUGAUUAUGAAACUUGCCUGGCCUGGGGCAGGGCUCUCCUGAGUCACAUACGCACUCACACAUGGUCAGAGCUGGAGCUCUUAGUUCUCCUCCAGUGUGGAAACUGAGGCCUAGGACAGAAAGAGACUGGAUCCCAGGCCACACAGCUGGGCAUGGGGAUGGUGCUGGAAUCCCACU
rnacentral:lncRNA from 10 species